UACGUAGGGUGCGAGCGUUAAUCGGAAUUACUGGGCGUAAAGCGUGCGCAGGCGGUUAUGUAAGACCGAUGUGAAAUGCCCGGGCUUAACCUGGGAACUGCAUUUGUGACUGCAUGGCUAGAGUUUGGCAGAGGGGGGUAGAAUUCCACGUGUAGCAGUGAAAUGCGUAGAUAUGUGGAGGAACACCGAUGGCGAAGGCAGCCCCCUGGGUCAAGACUGACGCUCAUACACGACAGCAUGGGGAGCGAACGGG
rnacentral:rRNA from 1 species